GCGGCCAGGUAGGUCUGCUGUGAAAACUCGAGGCUCAACCUCGAGAUGUCGGCAGAAACCAUCUGGCUAGAGUCCGGAAGAGGAGAGUGGAAUUCCUGGUGUAGCGGUGAAAUGCGCAGAUAUCAGGAAGAACACCCGUGGCGAAGGCGGCUCUCUGGGACGGUACUGACGCUGAGACGCGGAAGCGUGGGGAGCGAACA
rnacentral:rRNA from 1 species